rnacentral:rRNA from 1 species
GACGAACGCUGGCGGCGUGCCUAAUACAUGCAAGUAGAACGCAGUUGCGAACGGGUGAGUAACGCGUAGGUAACUGCCUCAUAGCGGGGGAUAACUAUUGGAAACGAUAGCUAAUACCGCAUACUGUAAGAAGGAACUGCGUUGUAUUAGCUAGUUGGUGAGGUAAAGGCGCACCAAGGCGACGAUACAUAGCCGACCAGAUAGGGUGAUCGGCAACACUGGGACUGGUACACGGCCCAUACUCCUACGGGAGGCAGCAGUAGGGAAUCUUCGGCAAUGGACGGAAGUCUGACCGAGCAACGCCGCGUGAGUGAAGAAGGUUUUCGGAUCGUAAAGCUCUGUUGUUAGAGAAGCGUGAACUAACCAGAAAGGGACGGCUAACUCCGUGCCAGCAGCCGCGGUAAUUC